rnacentral:rRNA from 1 species
AACGAACGCUGGCGGCAGGCUUAACACAUGCAAGUCGAACGGGCACCUUCGGGUGUCAGUGGCAGACGGGUGAGUAACGCGUGGGAACGUACCCUUCGGUUCGGAAUAACCCAGGGAAACUUGGGCUAACACCGGAUACGUCCGCAAGGAGAAAGAUUUAUCGCCGAAGGAUCGGCCCGCGUCGGAUUAGCUAGUUGGUGGGGUAAUGGCCCACCAAGGCGACGAUCCGUAGCUGGUCUGAGAGGAUGANCAGCCACACUGGGACUGAGACACGGCCCAGACUCCUACGGGAGGCAGCAGUGGGGAAUAUUGGACAAUGGGCGAAAGCCUGAUCCAGCCAUGCCGCGUGAGUGAAGAAGGCCUUAGGGUUGUAAAGCUCUUUCAGCGGGGAAGAUAAUGACGGUACCCGCAGAAGAAGUCCCGGCUAAACUUCGUGCCAGCAGCCGCCGUAAC